rnacentral:rRNA from 1 species
CCUACGGGUGGCAGCAGUGGGGAAUAUUGCGCAAUGGGCGCAAGCCUGACGCAGCAACGCCGCGUGAAUGUAAAAGGCUUUCGGGUUUUAAACUCCUUUACUCAGGGAGGAAGCAGGUGACGGUACCUGAGUAAGCAGCCCCGGCUACCUACGUGCCAGCAGCCGCGGUAAUACGUAGGCGGCAAGCGUUCUCCGGAUUUACUGGGAGUAAAGGGAGCGUAGACAGCAAGGCAAGUCUGAUGUUAAAGGCGGGGGCUCAACUCCGGGACUGCACUGGAUACUUUGCGGCUGGAUUGUGGUAGAGGUAAGUGGAAUUCCUGGUGUAGCGGUGAAAUGCGUAGAUAUUAGGAGGAACAUCGGUGGCGAAAGCGGUUUACUGGACUAUAACUGACGCUGAGGAACGAAAGCGAGGGGAGCAAACGGGAUUAGAUACCCGUGUAGUC